rnacentral:rRNA from 1 species
GACGAACGCUGGCGGCGUGCUUAACACAUGCAAGUCGAACGAUGAUGCCAGCUUGCUGGUGGAUUAGUGGCGCACGGGUGCGUAACACGUGCGCAACCUGCCCCUGACUUCGGGAUAACCGCGGGAAACCGUGGCUAAUACCGGAUAUGACGCGCUAUCGCAUGGUGGUGUGUGGAAAGAUUUAUCGGUUGGGGAUGGGCUCGCGGCCUAUCAGCUUGUUGGUGGGGUGAUGGCCUACCAAGGCGACGACGGGUAGCCGGCCUGAGAGGGUGACCGGCCACACUGGGACUGAGACACGGCCCAGACUCCUACGAGAGGCAGCAGUGGGGAAUAUUGCACAAGGGGCGCAAGCCUGAUGCAGCGACGCCGCGUGAGAGAUGACGGCCUUCGGGUUGUAAACCUCUUUCAGUAGGGAAGAAGGCCUUCGGGUUGACGGUACCUGCAGAAGAAGCGCCGGCUAACUACGUG